UACGUAGGGUGCAAGCGUUAUCCGGAAUUAUUGGGCGUAAAGAGCUCGUAGGCGGCUCGUCGCGUCGACCGUGAAAACCCGCAGCUUAACUGCGGGCCUGCGGUUGAUACGGGCGGGCUAGAGUUCGGUAGGGGAGACUGGAAUUCCUGGUGUAGCGGUGAAAUGCGCAGAUAUCAGGAGGAACACCGGUGGCGAAGGCGGGUCUCUGGGCCGAUACUGACGCUGAGGAGCGAAAGCGUGGGGAGCAAACAGG
rnacentral:rRNA from 1 species